CCUGGUGACGCGAGCGGGGUCGCCCCACCCGUUCCCAUCCCGAACACGGAAGUGAAAGGCCCCAGCGCCGACGAUACUGGCGGGGCAGCCCGCUGGGACAAUAGGCCGUUGCCAGGG
rnacentral:rRNA from 1 species